rnacentral:rRNA from 1 species
UACGAAGGGGGCUAGCGUUGCCCGGAAUCACUGGGCGUAAAGCGCACGUAGGCGGACCUUUAAGUCAGCGGUGAAAUCCCAAGGCUCAACCUUGGAACUGCCUUUGAUACUGGGGAUCUCGAGUCCGGAAGAGGUUGGUGGAACUCCGAGUGUAGAGGUGAAAUUCGUAGAUAUUCGGAAGAACACCAGUGGCGAAGGCGGCCAACUGGUCCGGCACUGACGCUGAGGUGCGAAAGCGUGGGGAGCAAACAGG